CGUAAAACACUUAUACGUGGCGGCGUGCCUAUCUGCAAGUCGAGCGAUGGAUUAAGAGCUUGCUCUUAUGAAGUUAGCGGCGGACGGGUGAGUAACACGUGGGUAACCUGCCCAUAAGACUGGGAUAACUCCGGGAAACCGGGGCUAAUACCGGAUAACAUUUUGAACCGCAUGGUUCGAAAUUGAAAGGCGGCUUCGGCUGUCACUUAUGGAUGGACCCGCGUCGCAUUAGCUAGUUGGUGAGGUAACGGCUCACCAAGGCAACGAUGCGUAGCCGACCUGAGAGGGUGAUCGGCCACACUGGGACUGAGACACGGCCCAGACUCCUACGGGAGGCAGCAGUAGGGAAUCUUCCGCAAUGGACGAAAGUCUGACGGAGCAACGCCGCGUGAGUGAAUGAAGGCUUUCGGGUCGUAAAACUUCUGGUUGUAGGGAAGAACAGUGCUAGUUGAAUAAGCUGGCACUUGACGGACCUAACCAGAAGGCACGGCUAACUACUGCCGCAGCGCGGUAUACGUAGGUGGCAAGCUUAUCCGGCAUUAUUGGCGUAAAGCUCCGCAGGUGGUUCUAGGUGAUGUGGAAGUCCAGGUCAACGUGAAGGUCAUGGAACUGGAAACUGUGCAAAAAAGA
rnacentral:rRNA from 2 species